rnacentral:lncRNA from 1 species
UGGAGAAAGUUACCACAGUAAAUAUUAGUUACUAUGGUAAAAAGGGUUAAAAGGAAGUUACCUUAGUGAAAGGAGUUACUUGAGAGUGAAAUGGGUAAAGGGAAACUUACCAGGAAGAGAGGAGUGUGCGCUGAGGUUAGGAUCAGGUUGUGGAUAAGGUGGAGAGCCUUGACAGGCUGUGACAGGCUGGAAAGGCAAAGCAUCUCAGUCCAAGAUGCCUCACACACGAUCACACUCCCAUUGGCUGAGUUUGAAAUGAGGAGCCUCUUCCCUUUGACUCC